CGUCGCGCCCCCUCCCUCCCUUCCCGCGGGCCCCCCUAGGGCGAGGCCGGCCCGCCGCCGGCGGCGCCGGCCUCGUCGUCGUC
rnacentral:miRNA from 1 species